UCUUUGAUGGUCUAGUGGUCAUGAUUUCCGCUUGUCAUUUAAUUAGUAACCCUAAUUAGUAACAAGUCGCGGGAGACCGGGGUUCGAUUCCCCGUCAGAGAG